GCAGAGUUCCGUUUCUCUCUGACUCUCUCUUCUUUCCCUCUUCCCUUGCCCCUUCCCACUGAAGCUCAGUCAGCAUGGUGUAUUUGUCUCCUGCCCAUGUUCCUCACUCGCCAUGGGACCCAGAGGGUUCCAACUCUCACCGUACUCAGAACAUUUGGUGCCAGACUCGGCCAGGCUCUCGCCUGCAGGUUGGUGGCCCGUGGCCCAGGGGGACCCUGAAUGACCCUCCACAACCGCCCAUUCUCCAUCCACCCAGCUGCUGGAUUGCUUCGCACAGCACCAGCUGUAAUGUGUGCUUUACCAGGCCUGCCUGGAGAUGCCACUUUACCGUGUCUGCAUAUGGUCUGCCCUGUGAUGUUUGAGCAAAUCUUCUUGUGGCCGGGACAAAGUACCGCAAAGAAACAGCCCAAGGAGGAUGGCCUCUCGUCUGCGAGUUUCCAAAGGAUCAUCUACCUGUUUUAUAAAACACCUGCAGGCAGAUCACUUUCAAAAGAACACAAUGAAGAGCAUUUCCAGGAAAGCACCUGGUAAAAGAGAAAGUCGGAAAGAAGAAGAAGAGUCUUGGGCUCGAUGGGACAGCACGCCUCAAAGAUCUUAUCAGUCUUCACAUUUGCUUCCAAGGAGCCACAAAUCUGAGUCUGAUUUUUCUAGGAGUCAAGAACAGGUGGGCUGUGUAAGAACCAUGUUCAGACCCCAGUCUCCCUGCUUCUUCUUCCCUGAACUGACCCUCUCCUCAUUCCCGGCAGACACAGAACACCAUCCUCCAAGGCAGAGAUUGGAGUGUGUGAUUGUUUAUGCUGGAAGAACGAGGCUUAGGAGCUACGUGGGCAUCAGAGAGAGCUGUCUUUCCCCUGGGACUGUGCAGUAACUAUAUGAUCUUGGAACAUUGUCAAGCUUCUCCAGACCUCAGAAUGUUGCUGACAAGAUUCAAGAGGGAAUUGCCACUAUCCAGUCCUUUACUUGUGGCCAUCUGCUCAGCUAUAUGGACUCUUGGCAAAGAAGGCUAAGGAGGUUUAAUGACUUGCCAAGUAGCCACAGCCUGUGGCAAAGAUCUGAUGCCCUUUGCUCUUGUAGGUUUGUGUCUUGGACUCCACACACCACUAAAGCUGCUACUGUAGAAAUUGGCUUUCAGAAAGUGUCAAGGGAGUGGAGGUGUCAUCCAACAAACAAGGCAGGUACCUGUUUGUCCUCAGGAUGGCUUUGACAUUUGCUUCCUGGGUCCUUUUCUGGCCUGUUUUGAGCCCUGGUCAAGUAAGGAAGUGUCUGGUGAGCAGGCAGCAAUCCCAGUCAGUGCCUCAUUGUUGUGAGCCUUGGAGAGGGAUGUGUAACCAAACAGGCAAACCUCCCUGCAAUGCCCAUUUUAGUGGAGGAGAUGGAAGACCGUCGAGUUCAGAUGACUCAGUUUGCCAGGUCCAGCUGGGUCCCCCAAGGCUUGACCAUGGUCCAGUUCCAUACCUAACAGCACCUCUUCCUCCCGUGACUCCAAGGGACAAGAAUUCUUGUAAGCAAACCCAUGGCUCAGAACGACAACACAGCUCUUAUUCCAGGGUAGCUCCAAGAAGGGAGACAGCAAACUCAGCAGUAGUUGGAGCAGCACCUACUGGAAAAGCUUCCUCCUCAGAAAGGCAUCAAGGGUGUUCUGGAACCUACCGGGAAGUCUCUCUGAAUACCUGACCAGAUCAGCAUAGACUUCAGCCUGAAUCAUUCUUCAGCAACUUUGUGCUUUUUUUUUUCCCCCUGCACGUUUGGAGUGAAGAUUGGCAAGGAGCUUGCCAUCUCGUGAAGAACAGAGAGAGAUUUGCAAGGGCUUCUCAGUUCUUUGGGCCACGUUCGAGCCACUUGUGAUGAUUGGCCCUCUGAUACUGUCCAAGAUGGAAUUUGGCUAGCACCAUCAUCUAGAGACUUUCCAGUGCAGUCUGUCAAAGAGGCAGGCCAGAGGUCACCAGCUCCAUUUCCUAGAAGAGGAGACUGAGUCCCGGGAAAGAGAAGGGACGCACACAACACCAAUCAACAGGAGCGGUGAAAGGAGCAACCACUAUGUGACAACACAGAUGGCCGGGACAGAGGGCUGUGAAGGCGGCAGAGUGGCUGAUGCAGAUGAACAUCUAGGCUGAUUUGUGUCAUGCCAAUGAUGAAUGGUACAGCUAUCAACAUGGAUGUAACAGCAGAAGGAUGGAGACGAUGGUUCUACGGAAAAGAAUAUUUGCCAUGAUGUCACGAGAGAGAUGGUGUGGGUCACCCAGAGAUUACCCGAUGCUCGGAGUGUAAAGAUGAGGAAGCAGACACAGAGGAGAGGUGCUUGCCCAGGAGCCUAGACCCAGGGUAGACUUGGAGGGCAGGAGACAACAAGUCAUCUUGAAGAAUCCAGACUACAACAUGCACUGGAAAGAGACCGCGGAGCAGAAAGAGUGUGGCUACGUAUGUCAGGCUCGGGCCAGAAUUCUUCCUCGGCUACUUACUGGUUUCUAUGAACUUGGAAGAGCUCCUUCUGGAAGGCUCCCAGCACUUCUUGUGUACCGGAAUAUGAGUAUGGUGUGAAGACAGCAAAGAUAAAGCAAUGGUGUGCAGUCCAGUGACAAAGAACGAAUGUGGUUAGUUGUAGCUUAUGUGACCGUGCUCCCAGGAAAAUAGAAUAAUUGCAAAUGAGUGUCAUUUUGUCAUAUCUACUGAACAGUGAGAAUCUAUUAUAGAUAGAAUCUGUUCCGUUCCCCCUCCGGGCAACACAGUCUAAGAAAAAGCAACUCUUCUAAAAGGUUCUUGAAUUAACAACACCAAACCCAUGGAAGACACAGUCUGACUUAUUGACAAGAGUUUUCUUCGAGAACUUGCUUCUCGCUUCACUGGAAGCAGCGCCACGUAGCAUACCCUACGACAGCGUCGAGCUCAUGUGCUCUGCCUUCCUUCCUUUAGACGACACCUGCCAUGCUGUGCAUGCAGCCUUCCCCCUGGCGUGACGGGUCCUCACCCUAAUGCUGCAGGAAGAUAUCCUUAGCAUGCGUGUCCUCUUCUGCAUCACUGAGCUUUCGUAGUUGGGUGGCUGCAGAAGACCAAGAAGCUCACCGCUUAGUGCUUUCUUGAAUCUCCUGCCAAGGCCACAAUACUCUUAGACUACGAAGACCAAGUUGUAGCUGAUGGAUGGCUUCCAAAGUCCCUGCUACAGGAAGAGGUUCUAGAACUCUCGAGUAUGGGCAGGUGAGUCUCAGGAAGGUAAGUGCUGCACAGUGAAACCCGUGAUCUGUUCUUUCUUCCUCCUUUCUUCCAGCCGUCUAACUCAGAGAGCACCGUCCACAACAGCAGCCCAUUUGGAAAGGUUCACCUAUCUGGCCAGAUGUCUCUCCUGGAGCGAGUCACCUUGCACUGCUUCCCGUUGUCCUCAGCAUCAUUUCCCUUCUGCACAGUUUUACAGCCACAGGCUUGUACCUCCUCCACAAAGCAUCUACACUGAAUCCUUGGAUUGGGCUUUGUUUUGGGGGAAUUUGUCUAAGGGAACAAACAGUGGAAACUUUAGACUGUUCCCUGGGUGUGGUUUUAGCAUUUGGAAAGUCAGAUCUGGGAAGGUGAGCAUUCUGAGCAGAAUGUAUAGCUCUAUCGUGUUAGUUAAAAGACCGUAUCUGUGCACACUCAGGCCCAACUCCUCCCUUUACCACUGUGUCAUCUUGUUGGUGACGUAUUGCCUCACAGUGGCACUCUCUCACAGAUAGCAAGAGCAUCAGUCAUCUGUGAUGGUUAUUGUAAAGACUAAAGAAGAUAUUUCGUGUAAACUUACAUGUCCCUGGGCCUCCUUAACACUAUUGGCAUUUUAGGCUAGGUAUCUUACUGAUGAAGGAGACUGAUCUGUCUAAUACAGCAUGCUCAUAAACAUCUCUGACCUCUAAUUAUUGAUGCAAUAACCUCCACAAAGCUGUGACAAUCAAAACUAUUUACACAUUGCCAAGUAUCUCUUGGAGACACAAUCUCCCCAAAUUGAGAAAAAUUAACUUGUUCUUAGCUGACAGCUGGUGCCAAAUGCUGACUAUUCAAGUAAGGCCAUCUGAGACCUUCCAGUCAGUCAGUUUCCUGGCAGAAUGCAUGGAUGUGAAUGAGCCUGCCAAAAACCACCGAAAGAAGCAUCCACAUAAAGCUGUGAGAAACUGCAAUGGGUUUCCUGACACCUUCAUGCGUAGAUGUCAUUUGUCCCUUCCUGCUAUCUUCCCCGUGCCCUUCCUUCCCUUCAGUCUUCCCCACUUCAUCCAUUCCGUCCCCAGUUAUUUCUCCAUUCUGGUUUCUAAUCACAUGAUGCCAUUACUUUACUUCCUGUCUCUCUUAAGAUCUCCCCCUCCUCUCUCAUGAGUCCCUAUGUGGGAUCAUGGCCUAAAACAUACAAACAUACAUAUAUAGAUAUACACACAUGUAAAUAUACAAUCACACACAUACAUGUAUAUAUACAUGUCUAAGAAUAAUACAUAUGUACAAAUAUGUAUACAUAUAUAUUUAAAUCUAGGUUCUACAUAAUGAGAGAAAAGAUGAAGCAUUUGCCUUUCUAAGUCUGGCUUAUUUCACUUAACUCGGUGAUUUCUAAUUCCAGUCCAUCUUCCCGCAAUUGUCAUGAUUUUACUUUUCUUUUUGGCUGCAUAAGAUUCCGUUGUAUAUAUGUAUCACAUUUUCAUUAUCCAUUCACCUUUUGACUAAUAGUUUGGUUGGUCCUAUUUCCUGAUCAUGGGGAAUAGUUAGUAACAAACACGGAUGUUCAGGUGCAUUGUGGGGUACAUCUAUAGAGUCAGUCCUUCAAGUAUAUAGCCAGGAGUAGCACGGCCAGGUCAUAUGAUAGUUCUGGUUUUAGUUUUUUGAUUAGUCUCCAUUCUGACUUGUACAGUGGCCACACAGCUUCGCAUCACCCCUCCCCCCCCCCCCCCCCCCCCCCCCCCCCCCCCCCCCCCCCCCCCCCCCCCCCCCCCCCCCCCCCCCCCCCGCAAGGAAUAAGAGCUCCUCUUUCUCUACAUCCUCAGCAGUGUUUGCUGUCAUUUGUUUCCUUGUGAUAGCCUUUCUGGCAGGGCAGAGUUCAGCUCUCCAGGGACUUUUAAUUGGCUUUUGGUGCCAAUUAAAGGAUGAUAAAUACUUUUUCAAGGAUUUAUUUAUUGUUGCCUUUCUAUUUUCGAGAAUAGUCUAUUCAGUUCAUUAGUUGUAAGAUGAUUUGGAUUUUUGGAGUUUAAUUUUUGCAGCUCUUUGUAUAGCCUGGAUAUUAAUAACCCCGCCUGGCGUGUGAUUGGCCAAGGACGUUUUCCUAUUCUGGAAGGCUGGCUAUGAUCAUUUCCUCUGCUGUGUAGCAGCUUUUGAGUUUCCCAUAAUCCCAUUUGUCAGUUCUCGACAGUGUUUCCUGAGGAAACACUGCUUUUGGAGAAAUCUUCGCAUACACCUGAGAAGCUACUUCCUUUGGAAACGGAAGCUGGACACGGAGCUCAGAGGGCUGAGUGAAGAGUUAAGAGAACACAGAGGCCUCUCAAGAGGAAAAGAACUGGCCUGCAAUCAAGGACUGUUUCUUGCCCUUGGGAUUGGAAUUCUGAUGAGUGAUUGUUUGGAUUUCAAUAUUGCUCUCAGUCUGAGACCCAUGUUUCCUAGUUUUUCUCUAUGUGUGGGAUAGUAUUUUGUAGAUAAACUUUCUCUAUCUGAAUGUUGAAUGGAGCUUAAAAGUUGCUGUUCAAAAUUAGGAAACACUCUACCUCAAGACCCAGCAAUAUGGCUGUUGGGUAUAUACCCAAAAGAUGCUCAAUCAUACCACAAGGUCAUAUGCUCAACUAUGUUUAUAGUAGCAUUAUUUGGAAUAGCAAGAGGCUGGAAACAACCUAGAUGCCCCUCAACUGAAGACUGUGUAAAGAAAAUAUGGUAAUUUACACAAUGAAGUACUACACAGAGAUAAAAGAAAUGACAUCUUGAAAUUUGCAGGCAAAUGGAUGGAUCUAGAAAAAAACCAUACUGAGUGAGGUAACUCAGAGCCAGAAAUACAAAUAUAAUCUGUUUUCACUCGUAAGUGGCUUUUAGACAUAAAGCAAAGAAAAACCAGCCUACAGGUCACACCCUAGAGAACCUAGACAACAAAGAGGACCCUAAGAGAGACAGACAUACAUGGAUCUACAUAGCAAGGUGAAAAAGACAAAAUCUCCUGAGUAAAUUGGGAGCAUAGGGAUCAUGGGAGAGGGGAGAAGGGGAGAAGGAAGGAAGGAAGGAAGGAAGGAAGGAAGGAAGGAAGGAAGGAAGGAAGGGAGGGGGGUGGAGAAAAAUGAAUAGCUCAAUAAAAACAAUUAAAAAUUAAAAAAAUAAGUUGCUGCUCAAGUGUUUCUCUCCUGAAAACCUCACACUGAACUUCAUGCACAUUCAGAUCCAAAGCAGCCCAUUCACCUCUGGACUUUGAACCUGGUACUUUAAAUUCUAUGGUAUCAGUCAUCAAAUGGGUUCCCCAGGACCUGCAAUAGUUCUUUUCAAUCAUAUAUCUGAUCUGGGUAAUCCAUGAGAUAUUAGAAUAUAGCCACAUAUAUCAUCUUUGGGCUAAAGUAAGUCACAAAGAAGUGCUUGGGUUUUUUUUUUUUUUUUUUUUUUGCUUCAUGCAUCCCUAUUCUGGGGAAAUUCAGCAUCUGCACCAAAACAACACUUGCACAGCUUUAUGGGGAGGUGUGUGAAAUGAGGGCCAUAGCCUGUUGUCCGCAGCCAGAUGAUCAAGUAAGCCAUUUUGAAUAGAGGUCAUCCAGCACCAUUCAAAUCUGCAGGUGAGCACCCUUUUUGUAUUCUGUCUGACAUCACCAGAGACACUAAGACAAAGGCAGGUAACUGACUCCCUGCCUUGUGGCUCACAGAACUGUGUGAGAUGAGAAAGAUUUACCACUGUCUCAGCUGGCUAAGGUUUAGAGUAUUCUGUUACACGUCAUGGUUAUCAAAACCCUUGCUGUGUGAGUUUGCUCAUGUUAAUUUGGAAGAGACACAUUUUGCAUGUCAAAGGAAUAUCAGUAAAUUGUAGUAAGAACCACGAAUAGAUCCUUUCAUGGUCCCAAGUUGCUUCCAUACCCAUGUGCACUCCCCAUUUACCAUGAGCCCUUGCUGUUCCUCCUGUCCAGAGAUGGAAUAUUUUUGUUUGCUCUCAAACCAGGGCAUCCCAGCCACUCAUUCUUCCCGGUGCACACGGUGUAAGCAGAGCGCUGUGACUUCUGAAGGUCAGCCUCCCAAGUCCUAGCCCACAUGAAAUGAUACCCUAUGGUGCCACUGAAAGGAAGUCAGUGUUGUCUUCUACAAGAUGCCAGAACUAAGGCACCCCAUUGAUAAGCAAUGCCAGCAGCCCUACUUGUGAAUGGAACCCUCUUGCCGUUUUAGCCAGGGCUCUGGCUGAAUGAAGCCAAAUGAGUAAUUACAGGCUUGGUUAUCAAAGGGACCUCCUAGCCAACUGCAGUUAGUGGCUCGUGUUUGAGAUUUUAACUUCAACUGCAAAAGAGAGCUGAGACUUUAUUUUCUUUUAAAUAGGGAUUUAAUACGGAGUAUGAUCUUAAAUCCACUGUUUUUUUUUUUUAACAAAAUUAAAUUUUUAGAGAAAUAAUUAUUGGUGACUUCUUGGAAUAUUAUAUUGACAGAGCUUCCCUAAGGCUAGGUAGACAUUUACGUGGGAAAAGAACUGUUAGUGACCAGCAAGAUCUUCCAUAGGCCUGCAUAGUGUAGACUAUUGCUUUGUAUGAGAACCUCCUUUCUUCUCCCAUUUCCUUUCUCCCUUAGUGGCUGCUGCGAGCCUCGUGUACUCAUAAUAUUCAUUUGUGUACAAAUAAAAGAAAUGUC